rnacentral:rRNA from 1 species
CACCUGUUUAUCAAAAACAUGGUUUUUUGAUUAUAAUAUAAGAUUGGUCCUGCUCAAUGAAAUUUUUUAAAUAGCUGCAGUAUCUAUGACUGUGCAAAGGUAGCAUAAUCAUUUGUUUUUUAAUUGGGAACUGGAAUGAAGGGAUUGAUGAGAUCUAUACUUUCUAAAUUUAAAAAUUUUAAAUUUAUUAUUAAGUUAAAAUGCUUAAAGGAAUUAAGGGACGAGAAGACCCUAUAGAAUUUUAUAUUAAUUAUUAAUUUAAAGAUUAAUUUAAAUAUAUUAAAAUUAAUAUUAAUAUUUAAUUGGGAGGAUUGUUAAAUUUUAUUAACUUAAAAUAUUUAUUAAAAUAUAGAUUAAUAAAUUAAAGAAUGAUUAUUAAAUUAAAAAGGAAUUAAUUACCUUAGGGAUAACAGCGUAAUAUUUUUGGAGAGUUCAUAUUGAUAAAAAUGAUUGCGACCUCGAUGUUGAAUUAAGAUAAAAAUUAAAUGGAGGUAUUUAAUAUUUAAGUCUGU